rnacentral:lncRNA from 10 species
UACAUGCUGUUUUGUUGUUCACUGUCUUUAGUCUCCAAGGAACAUGUGCAUAUUCUGCCAAUAGAUGUGGGGUCGUAUUAGGCUAGUGAAUGGCAAAGAUCUGGACACUAAUAACCUAAAAAGAAUAGUUCAAUUUUAAAAACCUAGAGAUGCUAUGGCAGCUGAAGAGCAAGGAAUUAUUUUCAUGUGUUAAGUUGCAAGACCUCUAUGGGUGUUCCCUCCCUAUGGGACCUCAGUUAUUCCAGUGGCACCAGGGUGGAUCUAAUGGCUUCCCUGCAAGAUGCCAAACUAAGAGGUUUUAUUACCUGGAAAAUACAAGACACAGCUGUUUAUG